GUCCACCACCACCACCAACCCGUCGCAACCCACCGGAAACCCUAACCCUAGCUAGAGCCAGGCCGCGCCGGCGAGUCGACGGAGCCGCCGCUGAGCGGACCAGCCGAGUCGGAGGAGUCGAGGUAGUCGCUGCGACGCAGCGCGGGCGCGGCGGCGGCGGCGGCAGGUCCUCCCGGCGACCUCCGGCGGCCUCUU
rnacentral:rRNA from 1 species